rnacentral:rRNA from 1 species
UGGGGAAUAUUGCACAAUGGAGGGAACUCUGAUGCAGCGACGCCGCGUGAACGAAGAAGGCUUUCGAGUCGUAAAGUUCUUUUAUAUGGGAAGAUAAUGACUGUACCAUAAGAAAAAGCCCCGGCUAACUACGUGCCAGCAGCCGCGGUAAUACGUAGGGGGCUAGCGUUGUCCGGAAUCACUGGGCGUAAAGGGUUCGCAGGCGGAAAUGCAAGUCAGGUGUAAAAGGCAGUAGCUUAACUACUGUAAGCAUUUGAAACUGCAUAUCUUGAGAAGAGUAGAGGUAAGUGGAAUUUUUAGUGUAGCGGUGAAAUGCGUAGAUAUUAAAAAGAAUACCGGUGGCGAAGGCGACUUACUGGGCUCAUUCUGACGCUGAGGAACGAAAGCGUGGGUAGCAAACAGG